rnacentral:miRNA from 2 species
CCUUCUCAUCGAUGGUCUAGA